UACAGAGGGGGCUAGCGUUGUUCGGAAUCACUGGGCGUAAAGGGCGCGUAGGCGGAUCUUUAAGUCGGGGGUGAAAGCCCAGGGCUCAACCCUGGAAUUGCCUUCGAUACUGAGGAUCUCGAGACCGGAAGAGGUGAGUGGAACUGCGAGUGUAGAGGUGAAAUUCGUAGAUAUUCGCAAGAACACCAGUGGCGAAGGCGGCUCACUGGUCCGGUUCUGACGCUGAGGCGCGAAAGCGUGGGGAGCAAACAGG
rnacentral:rRNA from 1 species